UCACUGGGGGAACGCGAAGAACCUUACCAGGUCUUGACAUCCUUUGACCACUCUAGAGAUAGAGCUUCCCCUUCGGGGGCAAAGUGACAGGUGGUGCAUGGUUGUCGUCAGCUCGUGUCGUGAGAUGUUGGGUUAAGUCCCGCAACGAGCGCAACCCUUAUUGUUAGUUGCCAUCAUUCAGUUGGGCACUCUAGCAAGACUGCCGGUGACAAACCGGAGGAAGGUGGGGAUGACGUCAAAUCAUCAUGCCCCUUAUGACCUGGGCUACACACGUGCUACAAUGGGAAGUACAACGAGUUGCGAAGUCGCGAGGCUAAGCUAAUCUCUUAAAGCUUCUCUCAGUUCGGAUUGCAGGCUGCAACUCGCCUGCAUGAAGCCGGAAUCGCUAGUAAUCGCGAUCAGCACGCCGAUGCC
rnacentral:rRNA from 1 species